GACGAACGCUGGCGGCGUGCUUAACACAUGCAAGUCGAACGAUGAACCCGGAGCUUGCUCCGGCGGAUUAGUGGCGAACGGGUGAGUAACACGUGAGUAACCUGCCCUUGACUCUGGGAUAACUGCUAGAAAUGGUAGCUAAUACCGGAUACGACCCUCGGUGGCAUCACCAGGGGGUGGAAAGAAUUUCGGUCAAGGAUGGACUCGCGGCCUAUCAGCUAGUUGGUGAGGUAACGGCUCACCAAGGCGAAGACGGGUAGCCGGCCUGAGAGGGUGACCGGCCACACGGGGACUGAGACACGGCCCAGACUACUACGGGAGGCAGAAGUGGGGAAUAUUGCACAAUGGGCGCAAGCCUGAUGCAGCAACGCCGCGUGAGGGAUGACGGCCUUCGGGUUGUAAACCUCUUUUAGUAGGGAAGAAGCGAAAGUGACGGUACCUGCAGAAAAAGCACCGGCUAACUACGUGCCAGCCGCCGCGGUAA
rnacentral:rRNA from 1 species